AAAACUAUGUUGUCAGGGAUCAUUUUUAUAGUUAAUGAGGGGAGUAAUGUGCUUUAAAGUGUCCAAACACACCAGCCACCAUGAUGAGUUUAAGGUCUCUCUUCUCAGCAUGAAGGCAGUUAGUAUCUCUAUUUCAUACAGAUGUUUGUUUUAGAUGAUUGUGCUACUUCUUUUAAAAUAAGUGGUACAAAAGUGCUCUUUCAGAGUGGC